CGCGUAGGUAACCUGCCUUGUAGCGGGGGAUAACUAUUGGAAACGAUAGCUAAUACCGCAUAACAAUGGAUGACACAUGUCAUUUAUUUGAAAGGGGCAAUUGCUCCACUACAAGAUGGCCUGCGUUGUAUUAGCUAGUAGGUGAGGUAACGGCUCACCUAGGCGACGAUACAUAGCCGACCUGAGAGGGUGAUCGGCCACACUGGGACUGAGACACGGCCCAG
rnacentral:rRNA from 1 species